rnacentral:lncRNA from 1 species
GAAAUCACAACUGAAGGUAAUCAAUUCAUAUUACAAAUAUAAUCAUGGCUUUGAAUUAACCUCUAGCCAACAUAAAUUUAAUUACACAUUAUUAAAAACAAAAAUAAAAUAGAAGUUUGAAAAGAUUAAACCGAAAGAAGGUGAUCUGUUGCUUUCGUGCCCACGCUGCCAAGGGUAGCGUUCUGUGCCGUUGGUUUCUCGUUCCUGCGCCUGCAAUUCUCUCCCCUCGCGCUGAUUUCUCUCUGACCUCGCUACCAAAGGCAGCGCCCAUUCUCCAGCUCCCCACUUCCCUUCUCUCCGCAGCUUCACGCUGCCCAAAGGGCAGCUUCUGCCUUCUGCUCUAUUUGCGCUGCCUUGUUUCCGCUCCAAGACCUGCGUCUCUGCGAGCUGCCCAAAGGCAGCCCUCUGACCUCUCUCCUGCUUCUCUCCUUUUUGCUGCUAAAGGCAGCGUUUCUUCUUUUAUUUUCUGCGCACCCUGCGCACUCCUCUGGGCUCCAAGACAGCCCACUGCUGUCCUCUCCUUUUUUCGUUUUUUUCCUUCUAUCCUUUUCUGACCUUUCUUCUGCUGUCCUAGCUGCCAGCUGCCAAGGCAGCAUCUUUUUUUAGCUUUUCUUUUCCUCACGCCUUAUCAGCUGCUAAGGCAGCUUCCUGCCUUUUUAUUUUAUCCCGCUGCCCAUGCUUGGAUUCCUUCCUUUUAAUUAUGCCGUGUCCCUCUUCCAGUUUUCUGCCUUCUUUUUCCUGCUUUGACUCCCCGCGUGUCACGCUGUCUCCUGCACUCCUCUCUUGGAUUCCCUUUAUUUUAUUCUUCUUUCUUCUCUUCCUUUGCAAACAUCAUAAUAAUGAGAGGGACAAACAUUGUUUAUAAAAUGUAAAUUAGUAUUAUCAUGUGACAAUAAAGGGUAAAUUUGCAUAACAGAUCCUAUAAACACAAAAAUAACGUAAAUAGCUCAAAAAUAUAAGGAACUAACCAAGAAAAGACGAGUGAAUUCGAAGUAAAAAUAUAUAUAAAUAUGAUCCGAUCAAAUACCCCCACACUUAACUUUUGCUAGUCCUCGAGCAAAACAAAGAAAAUAAGAACAAGAAGUAACAAGAAAAACAUUAGCUUCCCCCUAUGUGACCCUCAUAGAAUUUCAUUUAAGAAAACAAAUCAUCAAGAACCAUAGCUAGCACCAAACAAGUUAAUCCAAGUUCAUCUUCCUUAUUCAAAUAUUAGCAGUAAUCUUUGAAUCAUCCUUGAAGUGUAGUGUGUGAGAUAGUCAUGCUAAUGCAAUUUCAAGUUUUUAUUUUUAAAAUCAUCAUAUGCAAACUAGUAACCUUCUCACGGGAUAUACACUCAAUCACAUAUGUGUUUUAGUUUUAAUGUGUUUUCGCUCAAAGAAUCAAAUGUGAAAUUUCUACCAUAAGCUUGCAUAAAGAUCACUUCUCCACAGUCAUAAUUGCAAAACUUAAAUCAAGAGGACUUUUAUUGGAUGUAAUGAGGUUUAGGGAUAGGGUUAUUGAAACAAAAGAAUAGGAAACACAAAUUCCAAGCUACAUUGCAAGCAAUUUUUCUCUUUAGAUUUAUAAGAACUCAAGCUCUCCAACAAUUCUUCUAGCACCUCCAACCAUACCCUUAAACUGAAACUUGAACAACUUUUUAUUUUCUUUGUGUACAAUUUUUCUUUUUCUUUUUCUUUUCUUCUCUUUUUUAUUUUUUUUUAUUUUUUUAUAUACAAACAUGAAAUACCCCCACACUUAUUCUUUUGCCAAACACCUUCAAAGUACUUCACAAACGUUUCUCAUAAGACAAUCUCGCAUUGCUCGCUUGGAAAGGGUAAUGAAAAAUGUUUCAGGUAUAAGGGUAGACAUAUAUGGUGAUAAGAAAUAAAAGGUUCAACAUACACGGCUCAAAUUGGCAAACUAAUGAUAUCAUUUUUCUUUGGGAAACAUGGUUAUUUGGGCCAUAGUGGUAAACCUAAUGCCUCUAUCAUUUCCAAGUUCAUGCAAUCAAUGACAAACAUUUCGAAAGAUCGUUACGCAAGUUCUAGAGAUGUAUCUCACAUAAGUUCAUCACACAUGAAAGAAUAGGAGUGUAUGAAAAAUGCACACACUUUCAAUCGGCUCAAAAACUCACAUAGGAUGGUCACUAAAUUCACAUAUGAAGCUUUAAGUUAUGCUUUAGUUUCACAUCAACAAGGCUAUGUGCAUUUGGUUUUUCAAAGAUGAUCAAACAUGUACAAAACUAACAAAAGAAUUAGGAAUUUCACAAAACACAUGUUAACUAAGUUCUUGAUAAUCAUGAUUCAAAUUUGAUCUAAUUAUAUCAUUGGGUCGGGAAACUAACAAAAAAUCUGAUUCAGAACAAUAAGGGAAACAAGACAAUAUUUUUGGAUUUUUAAAUUUUCCGAUUUUUUUUUAUUUUUUAUUUUUUUUUUUUUUUUUUUUUAAGAAAACAAAAACUAACAACACAGAAACAAAUGAAAUUCUAGAGAUUUCUACCCCCACACUUAAACUUGACAUUGUCCCCAAUGUCAGAAAACACUAUAAUGCAAAUAAAAAAAUAAAAUAAAAUAAAUAAAUAAUAAGAAACAAAAUAACGCAAUUGGACUGAAAACUUCCCUAAUUUGCAGUAAAAUCAAGCGAUGACCCCCAAGCUAAAAUUCUGCAAUCAACUUCAAGGGUGGAAAUAACCAAAAGUUCCUGCAAAGAAAAGAAAUAAUUCAGUUAAGUACGCAAGAAAAUUAAUUAAAAAAAAAAAUUGCAAACGAAAAAUUGAAAAUUACGAUAAAAGAUAAUGAAUAAAACUAAUAAGUAAUCAUUGGUCGUGCUUGUUGACUUUCCACAGCUUUCCUCUUGAACAGGGUGACACUUAGCUUUUCACUUGCAAGUGAUGAUUUUAUGAUAUUGUACGGCGAAGCUUUGCUCUUUGGUUAUGUUGCAGUUCCUUAUUUGUUCUCCAAGCAGAUGUGGCAGCUUCUCUAGUUCUUCAGUUCGGACUCCUUGUGCUGGGUUGAUUGUACGAGCUGCAUUCUUCUCUGCUUGUUUCUUCAGCACGGCGGGCAGGCACGAGGCAAAGGUGUUGGUCCUUAUUUCUUUCUUCAAUCUUUCCAAGUGCCCACCUCUUGCUUUCUUUCUCCUUGUCCCUAGCUGAAUUGUCUCCACAUGCUUCGAGGUAUCAUUUUCACUUCCCUUACUGUCCCCCAGGCAGAUGUGGUAGACGAAGAGAAAGCAUAAAAUGAUGAAGAUGAGUACUCGAGAGCAAGGCUAGGUAAGCAAUCAGGAAGGGGUUCCAGGCAGUUGGCUCCAGAUUGGAAGAUUGAUACCAAAUGCUGGCUGAUUGCUCUCUUUCUCCUUGUCGGAAAACAAAGACAAGGAGAAGGACAUGGAGAAAGCAUGAUAUGAGAUACUCUUGCUUUCAACCUUUAUGAUAUGAAAUACUUUUUCUUUGAAUGGGUUGUUCGCAGGAGUAUCCCAAGGAAUGAGGAACACAGAGUGACUCGAGAGGAUUCUUUGGGAAUGCAUUUUCGUCGGAGAUGAAGAGGUGUUGAGAGGGUGUGCUGAGAGAAUGUGCUUUUGCUGUGGAAGGCGAAGGUAGAAACUUAUUAGGACUUCUCUUCACAACCGGAACUGUUCUCUCACUCAUUGUCGGCAGCCGGUGGGAUGGAUGAAUAGUACAAAUUACGCGCUUUCUGACAAAGCUGCCCGUAAUUUCCGCAAAGCUGCCAGUUGCAUGUGACAAAUGCUGACUAGGCUGAGAGAGACAGAUGGUUGGAAUCGGCACUUCGACAGACUGCCCGUGAUUUUCGCAGAGCUGAGUUUGCGUGUGAUGGGUGACAACACGUCUGGACGAAUUGAUCUUGCGAAAUCCGGGGUUCGGCUCGUGGUUUCUGAGCAAGCCCAACUUUUAAGAAAUGAACGCCUCUUUUGAGAAAAGAAUCCGGCUUUUUGAGAACGGAAACUCCUCUUUUGAGAAAAGAAUCCGGCUUUUUGAGGAAGGUGCCCCGACUCUUCGAUUUGCGAAAGGACGCCUCUUCAAUUUCUGAGGAGCGCCUCUUUUGAUUUCUUCUUUUUAUAGAGGCGUUAAUUUUGUUCCACAACACACUUGAGCUCCCUCUAGUAAACACUCCCAUCUUGCACUUGUUUAAUCUUGAUCAGUCCAACUCUCUUCUUUCUUCACCACCUCUGAAAAAUGUCUGGCCCUUCCGAUCGUCGUUUUGACUUGAACCGUGGUGAAGAGGCAGCUCCGCCUUCACCAGACAACAUAUGGCGCCCAUCUUUCAUAUCCCCAACUGGUCCUCUUACUGUUGGGGAUUCGGUGAUGAAAAAUGACAUGACCGCUGCGGUGGUGGCCCGAAACCUUGUCACUCCCAGAGAUAACAGACUGCUCGCAAGGCGGUCUGAUGAAUUGGCGGUCAAUGAGUCUCUGGCUCUUAGCGUGCAGUGUGCCGGUUCCGUGUCCAACAUGGCCCAACGCCUAUAUGCCCGAACCCGUCACGUUGAAUCCUUGGUGGCUGAAAUACAGAGUCUCAAGCAAGAGAUUAAAGGGCUCAAGCAUGAGAAUAAGGAAUUGCACAAGCUCGCACACAGCUAUGCCACCAGCAUGAAGAGGAAGAUUGACCAGAUGCAGGACACCGAUGGUCAAAUUUUACUUGAUCAUCGGAGGUUUGUGGGUUUGUUCCAACAACAUCUGCCUUCGUCUUCUGGAGCGGCACCGCGUAGUGAAGCUCCAACUGAUCAACCUCUGCUGCCUCCUCCUUCUGUGGCCCCGCCGACUGCUGAAGCCCCGCCUACUACUGAAGCACCACCCGACCAAUGAAUACUAUUAGUUUACAUCAUUGUAAAAUAUUUGUACUUUUUUUUUUUUUUUUUUUAAUUUUUUUUUUAUGUAAUUUUUUUUUUUUAUGUAAUUUUUUUUUUUUAUCAUUAAUUUUAAAUUUUAUCUUUCUUUUUUUUUUUUUUUUUUUUAAAUUUUUUUUUUUUUAUAUAUGUAAAUUAAUGUAAAGAGACUUUGGUUAACCUUCCCCCACACUUAAACUAAAUAACACAACUAACUAAACAAGACAAAAUGAAAGCAUUAAAGAUAAGGGUGUAAAAAUGCAAAUCUGAUUGGGUUAGCGAUUCCAAAGUCUCCCUUCGUUGAAUGCUUGGGUUGCCUCCCAAGAAGCGCUUGAUUUAACGUCUUUAGCCGGACGCAUCUUUCCUUUAAAUUUCCCUCGGCUCCAUUUGAACCUAAAAUCAAAGAAAGAAAAAUAAAUCAAAUAUCAAAAGUAAAAUACACAAACACCAAUAUAAACAUAACAAAAACAAAAAUAAAAGGAUUAGCAAAGUUACUAAUCCCCGGCAACGGCGCCAAAAUUUGAUGCGUGAAUUUACUUGACACACAAAUUAAACCCUCUUUUUGACAAUUGUAGUAUAGAUGUAAGUAGGGUAUCGUUCUAGGCCGGGGAUUAGGAGGGAUUGCUAAUCUAUUCUAAAUUAAUUUAAAAUAUUAAAUAAGACUCAAGGACACAAAACUAGGCUAAAAACUCUAAUAACUCGAAACACACUUAAAAUGACUCAAAAUAAUGAAAACAAUUAAAUUAAACACUAGGAACUGAAAUGGACGGAAAUUAAAUUAAAAGACUAACAAUAAAGAAAACUAAAUAAAUAAUAUAAUUUAAUAAUGGAUGGGUGUUUGGUUUUGAUGAAAAGUAAAUUAAACUUAAUUAAAUUACAGAAUUGACAAAAACAUGAAAUUAAGGUGAAAGGAUAAGUGAUGGAUUAACUAGAGGGUUCUUCUCCUGGCAAAAACAUAAAAUUAAGGUAAAAUGAUAAAUGACGGACUAACUAGAGGGUUCUUCUCCACACAUGUUAUACUUGCAUACAAAAUGAUUUCCAGUUGUUCAUUUAAUAAAUUGUGAAUCUCAACACUUCAGAUUAACCGUGAACAGCACUUUUUUUAAUCUUCAAGUUUUCCUUAAGUUAUUGAAUUGGACGGGAAAACGCAUACAACAAUUCAAAACAUUCUUCAAAAGUCCCCUACGUGAAAAGCACAAUAGAGAUACAAUCAAAGAUCAUUAAACUUUGUGAAAACUAUAAGCAUUGACGAGGCAUUCGUAACUAUGAAAAGCAUGAUACUCUUGCCAAGAAUUUACUUAACGUGAUUGUGACUAGCAACCUUUACUACUUGUGAAAAUAAGUUCAUAACGAUUAGGUGAAAUUCACUUAUAUUCUAGCAUCAAAUUCAUGCAUGUAAAUUAAGCGUGCACUCUCAACCAACAUACACAAAUCAGUUUUUAUACGAACGGAUAAGUAAAUUGAAUUCACAACUUAUGAAAUCACAACUGAAGGUAAUCAAUUCAUAUUACAAAUAUAAUCAUGGCUUUGAAUUAACCUCUAGCCAACAUAAAUUUAAUUACACAUUAUUAAAAACAAAAAUAAAAUAGAAGUUUGAAAAGAUUAAACCGAAAGAAGGUGAUCUGUUGCUUUCGUGCCCACGCUGCCAAGGGUAGCGUUCUGUGCCGUUGGUUUCUCGUUCCUGCGCCUGCAAUUCUCUCCCCUCGCGCUGAUUUCUUCUCUGACCUCGCUACCAAAGGCAGCGCCCAUUCUCCAGCUCCCCACUUCCCUUCUCUCCGCAGCUUCACGCUGCCCAAAGGGCAGCUUCUGCCUUCUGCUCUAUUUGCGCUGCCUUGUUUCCGCUCCAAGACCUGCGUCUCUGCGAGCUGCCCAAAGGCAGCCCUCUGACCUCUCUCCUGCUUCUCUCCUUUUUGCUGCUAAAGGCAGCGUUUCUUCUUUUAUUUUAUGCGCACCCUGCGCACUCCUCUGGGCUCCAAGACAGCCCACUGCUGUCCUCUCCUUUUUUCGUUUUUUUCCUUCUAUCCUUUUCUGACCUUUCUUCUGCUGUCCUAGCUGCCAGCUGCCAAGGCAGCAUCCUUUUUUAGCUUUUCUUUUCCUCACGCCUUAUCAGCUGCUAAGGCAGCUUCCUGCCUUUUUAUUUUAUCCCGCUGCCCAUGUUUGGAUUCCUUCCUUUUAAUUAUGCCGUGUCCCUCUCCAGUUUUCUGCCUUCUUUUUCCUGCUUUGACUCCCCGCGUGUCACGCUGUCUCCUGCACUCCUCUCUUGGAUUCCCUUUAUUUUAUUCUUCUUUCUUCUCUUCCUUUGCAAACAUCAUAAUAAUGAGAGGGAC